UCCUUUCCGGUCGCGAGGCGGGGCGGUUCCGGUGUCAGGGAUUCCAAGGAUUGGACGUGGAGCGGAAAAAGUUCAUGGCACACAGAAGAGUUAAAGAAAUGCUUGCUGAUGGAUCAUUAAACUGAACUCUAUGUGAGAAGAGAUGGACUGACUACGGAUGAGCCCCCUAAAGAUGGUCUACAAUUCAGCAGCUCAAACCUGGCUAAAUUCUCUCACUGGGAACUCCAACUGCCCAUAAGAGAAAACUUGCCUCCAAUUCCUGCCUGGAAUUAUUUUCCAGCCCAAAACUCUCUUUAAUUUUCAUUUUCCUACAUACAACAAAAUCAAGUCCAUGG